rnacentral:tRNA from 1 species
GCGCCGGUGGUGUAAGGCGAACAUCGCUACCUGGAAAGCAGAAGAUGCGGGUUCGAGUCCCGCCUGGUGCA